UGGCAGUUACCCUGGCACCAGGCCUUGCAUAGACUCAGUGCAGGUCGCUGGUGGGGGGGUACACCUGAAUGUGUCUCCAUCCGUGUGUGUACAUGCACAUGUGUGCAUGCGUGCGUCUCCAUAAGUGUGUGUUUGUGUGCAUCUCCAUCCAUGUGUGUGUUUGUGCAUAAGUGUGUGCAUGUGCACGUGUGUGUGUGUGUGUGUGCAAGAAACACUGGCAUGAAGGCAAGAGGCCAAGUCCAUGCCAGUCUCCAGUGUAGAGAAGCGACUAAUAUUGCUGGCAAGUGAAGCGCACCUGUGUGUGCGUGUGCUACAGCCUCUCCUUCCACUGCCCCCUCCUCCCCCGCUCUGGCCCCACAAUUCCCUCAGCACCUUGGGCUGACGGCUGCCAUACGUGUGGCCUGCUCCUACACCCCAGUUUCCCCGGCUUUGCACCCCUCUGCCUGUGGCGGCUUCUCCAAGGCAGGGCGCAGCCCCACUCCUUUUAUUUAUUGUCUCCCUCUGGGGCGCUUAGCCCUCAGCUUUGUUGGGCUAGGCGGGGCAUGAGCUGGGCUGUGCAGGCAGACGUGCGCUGGCACCAAGACAAUUUUGUACCUCCUUGCUGUCCCAUGCUGUGCCGAGGUGAUCGGUUGCUCUUUUUUUUUUUUCCCCAACAUGACUGUAAAUAUAGAUAGAGCUUUAUUUUGUUAAUAAGGCGAGGAGUAAAAGAGUUUCGACGUGGGGAGUCCUUGGGUUCCAUCAUUAAGUUGUGUACUGGGGAUUUGUGAACCUCGGGAGGUUUGGGACGGUGUGACCUCCUGUGACCCCUGGCCUGGGAGCAAGGUCUGGGACUCCUGCCCUUUAUUUCUGUGCAUCUUAGGCUACUUUGUGAGCUUGACCAGAGGUAUUGCUCAUGGGUUAUGGAGAAGGUUGCAGGCUUCUGGAGGAUACUGAGCGCUUUGAAACCCUUUCACCUUAGGGUUCAAAAGGGAGAGGUUGCAGCUGCUAGAUGUGUGCUCAGGCUCUGUUUGCUUACAGCCGGUCUCGGUUUCUGUUCUUGCAGUCCUCGGAAGACCCUGGCAAAGAAGUGGAUGGGGAAACAGCAGAGAAGAGGGGAUGUAGGAGGAAAGCCAGCCAGAGAAACAGGAUGUGAAGGAAAGGGACUCUGGACAGAAUCACCUCCCUGCCUUUAGGUCUCGAUCAUGUAUUAGCCAAAUUUUGGCUGUGUGAGCCUUUGGGCGAGCUCCCUGUAACCCGGUAAUGGGUCUCUGCCCUUGAUGCUGUCGCACUUGUGCAGCAGUCAGGUGGAAGGUGGACAACCCUCUAAGCAAGGCGUGUGUCACCGCCAUCUCGUUUGUAAAGGGCAUGGAUCCGGUUAGUGGUCUUGUGCAGCACAGCCGCCCUGUAAUCGGGGUCCAGGCCAGCUGCCAGAGGUGGCUACCAACGGCGCAGGCUCCUGUAAGCAGGGUGCGUGCUGCCUCCUACCACACGAGAAGGACAGUGGAUUUGAACGUGCGGAUAGCCACGGCUUACAGGGAAGGUUGCAGGCUUCUGACAGAUACUGAGUGCGUUGGGACCCUGAGGCUUGGUGACCUUCCUGUAACUCAGGUCCAGGUCUCUGCUCCUCUGUUCUGCUGCUCCUGGCACUAUUAAGAUGGCCUCUGCCCACACCCUGUAAACAGGGCUGCACCCCCAGCCCUUCUGUGUGGAGGAGGCCUCGUUUAGUCCUUUGGGCUCUGUGGCUUCCAUGACAGGAGCCUGAGGUCAUGGCCCUUCUGUCCUGUCCAUGGGGCAGCUUUGACCCCUGAUGGAGACCGCCUGAGGCAGCUGUCAGUUGGCAUUGAGGGCUUUGCGGGUUGUCUCUGGGCUUCAUGCCCCAGCAGCCAGCUGUCCAGCGGGAGCACCGCCCUGUAAGCAGGGUUGCCAGUGCCUGGGGUCACCGUUCAUGGUGCCGCCCUAGCAGUUCUGUCCACAGUCCUGGCCCGUGACAUUCUGCUUGUGGCUGGCCGGGAUGUCAGCAGCGGAGCCCGCAGAGGUGUGCCCUCCCCACAUUCUGCAGACAGAGGACAGAGUGGCCACAGGUCCUGGAGAAGCAGAGAACGUGACAGACAAAUAGGAAUUCACUGAUACCCAGGGCAGAAAACCAUGCCAGGCAAGCAGGAGGCAAAGGUAAGAGAGUUUGGGUAAAGACUAGGGAUUUGUGAGCCGUGGAAGGUUUGGAGUGCCAGGGCGUCCUGGGUCUUCCGGCUAAUAAGCAAGGCACAGGUCUCUUGCUCUUUUUUAUCUGAAUCUUGGGCUACUUUGUGAGGUUGGGCAGAGGUGUUACCUAGGGAUUACAGGGAGGGCUGCAUGCUGCUGGAGGAGACUGAGCAUGUUGGAACCCCUUCACAUCAGGGCCGAAAAGGGAGAUGCAGCCACUCGAUGUGUGCUGAGGCUGCGUUGACUUACACCUGGUCUCGGUCUCUGUUCUUCCAGUCCUUGGAAGGCCCAGUGGUGAAGGGGCGAGGCAGGAGGAAAGCCAGCCAGGGAACAGGGGUGUGAAGGAAAGGGACUCUGGGCCCAGUAACCACCCUGCCCUUAGGUCUCAGUCACCUAUGAGCCAAAAUGUGGCUGAGGGACCCUUGGAGCAGCGGUACCUCUGUAAGCAGGAAGUGGGUCCCAGCUCUGGAGGCUGUUGCUCUUGCAGAGGUGUGAGGUGAAAGGAGCCUGCCCGCCCUGUCGCCUCCCCUUUGAUUGUGAUCCUUCUUCAUUUGCUGAAAAUGUUCACAAGGCAUGGCUGCCCUGUAAUCGGGGCCCAGGCCUGCUGCUGAUGGAGCAGCCACCUUGUUAAAAGGGUGCCUGCUGCUUCCUGCCCAGAGGCAAGACUGAGCUGUGCAGUGCCUUGACCGUUGUAGCUGCCCCACAGUAAGUGUGUGAGAGCCCUGCCAUAGCUGGCUGGUGGGGGAAGAGGCCCUCUUGUAAGCAGGAUGCGUCUCUCUUUCCCCUUUGUGCUGGACAGGGACUGCUGGUUCCUUGAGGGUCGUGACCAUCCUGUAACUUGGGCUCAGGUCUCCAGGCUCCUCUUUUUUGCUGCCCUCGGUGCGUUACAGACACUCUCCCUGUCCCUGCCUUUCCCUCCUGUAAGCAGGGGUUGGUCACCCCUUGGGGGUUGAGGUCUCAUUUAGUGCUUUGGGCACUGUGGCUCCCAGGACAGGAGGCUAAAGUCACAGCCCUUUUGUCCUCCAGACACAGGGAAGCUUUGACCCCUAAUUGAGAGACCGUCUCAGGCACCUGUCAGCUGGCAUUCAGGGCUUUGCAGGUUGUCUGGAGGGAGCACUGCCCUGUAAGCAGGGUUUUCGGUGUUUGUGGUCACCAUUCAUGGUGCUGCCCUAGCAGUUCUGUCCACAGUCCUGGCCCAUCGCACUCUGCUUGUGGCUGGCUGGGAUUGCAGCAGCGGAGCCCGCAGCGGCGUGCCCUCCCCACUUUCCUCAGACAGAGGACAGAGUGGCCGCAGGUCCAGGUAAGGGUAAAAGAGGGAGAGAAGUUGGGAUCUGUAGUCUGGUCCUCUGAAACGCUCACUUGAAUCCAUUGUCUGUUUUUUAAACCCCCAGAAGGAAAAGCAGGGAAGAUAGCAGAUGAGUGACUAAGGAAGGAAGAAACCCCUGCCAGCCCACCAGGAGAGAAAGGUCCCUGCAGGGCAGCUGAAGAAGAACGAAUGGAAGCAGGAAAAGAAAGCUCAGCAACAACAAGUGUGGGUUGGGGUGGGCAGGAGGGAGGGAGCGAAAUAUUUAAUGUAUGCUUAGAUAGGUACAGAUGGAGACUGUUGUGCGUAUCUCUACACUUUCAAACACCCAUUAGGAGCAAGCAGCCACAUGCUUCAAGUAGCACCGUGCAUUUGGUCUUGGGUUGGCCCCAAAUUGUGUUCAAGGAGGUUGAGGCUUUGUGCUAGUUGUGCGUAUUGAUAUGCAGCAGUCAAGAGUUUUUUAGGUUGUCUGGCUCUUCUAGUUAAGCAGUUGAUCAAAACAGAUGUGUGAUUGAAGGCAGCGUGUAGGUUUUUCUUGGUUGGGUUGUUGAACAGUUCUCGGUGUUAGUGUAGAAAUGCAAGUUUGUGCUCAAUUCUGUUUGUGACUUGGCUGUAGCUUGCAGGGCCAGUUUGAGGCUGUUUAUGGUGCAGUUUGUUCGCGUCUGUAAGUUAAGGCUUCAUGGGUGUUCAAAAGUGUUUAAUCUCCAGCUUCAUGGGGACAAAGAUCUCAACCUGUGUCCAAACAAUCAUAAAGGUAGUUGGCGUGCUCAGCGUCAAACUGGUAGGAGCAAGUGGGCCUAAGAUGUGCACAGUUGCACGAUAAAUGGUAUAAAAAACUUCAUCUUGUGCUUUUCUACAGAGAAGCUUUGGUCAUUAGCCUUUCCUGUUGAGGGCUGACUGAAGGGAUAAACUUUUUCAUUCUGUCUGCCGAUCCAAUCUGUGUUCUUACGUGUUUAAUGCAAAUAUUUCCCGUUCUGACUGGCCAAUGGUAAAAGCAUACGUAGCGGACUGUUCCUAGUCAUCAGUUUACGAUUGUUAAUGCACUGUAGGAAAUCAGUCCUGAUUUUUGGAGGAAUUA